CCUACGGGGGGCAGCAGUGAGGAAUAUUGGUCAAUGGACGAGAGUCUGAACCAGCCAAGUAGCGUGAAGGAUGACUGCCCUAUGGGUUGUAAACUUCUUUUAUAUGGGAAUAAAAUGUUCCACGUGUGGGCUUUUGUAUGUACCAUAUGAAUAAGGAUCGGCUAACUCCGUGCCAGCAGCCGCGGUAAUACGGAGGAUCCGAGCGUUAUCCGGAUUUAUUGGGUUUAAAGGGAGCGUAGGUGGAUUGUUAAGUCAGUUGUGAAAGUUUGCGGCUCAACCGUAAAAUUGCAGUUGAAACUGGCAGUCUUGAGUACAGUAGAGGUAGGCGGAAUUCGUGGUGUAGCGGUGAAAUGCUUAGAUAUCACGCAGAACUCCGAUUGCGAAGGCAGCUCACUGGACUGCAACUGACACUGAGGCUCGAAAGUGUGGGUAUCAAACAGGAUUAGAUACCCUUGUAGUC
rnacentral:rRNA from 1 species